rnacentral:tRNA from 1 species
GCGGGAGUAGCUCAGUUGGUAGAGCAGUAGCCUUCCAAGCUACUUGUCGCGAGUUCGAACCUCGUCUCCCGCU